rnacentral:rRNA from 1 species
GACGAACGCUGGCGGCGUGCCUAAUACAUGCAAGUCGAGCGAAGUUUUUCUGGUGCUUGCACCGGAAAACUUAGCGGCGAACGGGUGAGUAACACGUAAAGAACCUGCCUCAUAGACUGGGACAACUAUUGGAAACGAUAGCUAAUACCGGAUAACAGCAUUAACUGCAUGGUUGAUGUUUGAAAGUUGGUUUUGCUAACACUAUGAGAUGGCUUUGCGGUGCAUUAGCUAGUUGGUGGGGUAAAGGCCUACCAAGGCGACGAUGCAUAGCCGACCUGAGAGGGUGAUCGGCCACACUGGGACUGAGACACGGCCCAGACUCCUACGGGAGGCAGCAGUAGGGAAUCUUCCGCAAUGGGCGAAAGCCUGACGGAGCAACGCCGCGUGAGUGAAGAAGGAUUUCGGUUCGUAAAGCUCUGUUGUUAGGGAAGAAUGAUUGUGUAGUAACUAUACACAGUAGAGACGGUACCUAACCAGAAAGCCACGGCUAACUACGUGCCAGCAGCCGCGGUAAUACGUAGGUGGCAAGCGUUGUCCGGAAUUAUGGGGCGUAAAGCGCGCGCAGGUGGUUUAAUAAGUCUGAUGUGAAAUCCCACGGCUCACCCGUGGAGGGUCAUUGGAAACUGGUAAACUUGAGUGCUGGAGAAAAAGUGGAAUUCCUAGUGUUGCGGUGAAAUGUGUAGAGAUUGGGAGGAACAUCUGUGGCGAAGGCGGCUUUUUGGCCUGUAACUGACCUGGAUGCGCGAAAAGGGUGGGGAGUAACUAGG